UGGGAUGAUGUCGUGCGAACAUGAAGGC
rnacentral:piRNA from 1 species